GCUGGGCGCGGCGGUCUGUGCCUGUAGUCCCAGCUACUCACUCGGGAGGCUGAGGAGGGAGGAUCACUUGAGCCCAGGAGUUCUGGGCUGUAGCGUACUAUCCUGAUCAGGUGCCUGCACUAAGCUCGGCAUCAAUGUGGUGACCUUCCGGGAGCAGGGAACCACCAGGUUGCCUAAGGAGGGGUGAACUGGCCCAGGUCGGAAACUGAGCAGGUCAAAACUCCUGUGCUGAUCAGUAGUGGGAUCACACCUGUGAAUAGCCACUGCACUCCAGCCUGGGCAACAUAGCAAGAUGCCAUCUCU
rnacentral:SRP_RNA from 1 species